rnacentral:lncRNA from 1 species
GUUUUAUGUUGAGAUAGGAUCUCAUUAAAUUGCCAAAACUAGAGCCGAGGAUUUAGCACAGUGGUUCUGGAGCCCACUUUGCAAGCACAAGGACCCGAGUUUGAUCCACAGUACCAACAAAUAAAUAAAGAAAUAAAUAAAUAAAGCUAGGCUUGAGCCUGAGAUUCCCCUGCCUCAGCUACCUGAGUUGCUGGGUUUACAGGUAUGUGCCACCACAACCAGCUUAACCUCUCUUCUUUAUAAAGUUAGGCUGCCUCAGGUACUUUGUUAUAGUAACAUAGUAAAGAGGCCAAUACACUAGCUUAUAAGGACUUAAUUUUUUUAUCUUUUUUGACAGGAUCUUGCUUUGUAGUACAGGCUGGUCUUGAACUCACAGCCCUCCUGCCUUAGCCUCCUGAAUGUUGAGACUACAGGUGUGCGCCACCACAUCUGGCUAUCAGGGCUUUCUGAGGAAGCAAACCCUCACUAAACACUGAAGGCAGAGGCUCACUGGCUCUCAGAUAUUGCUGGUGUCAACUGGUAAAAGUUCUUUUCUCCAAAGGAGGGAGCCAUUUCACACAAAUCUUGGGACAGAGGCAAACUGAACAUUCCUUCAAACGUCAUCUGAAGAUGCAACCCGAGCUGCUUUCAAAUUCUUUAAAAACCAUUCCAUAAAAUACAAAUUGCUCAUCAAUUUUAUAAACAGUGAGAAGCAAUGAGUCUGGUUCUUCUGUG